UCCGGCUUCACGCCGGCAGUCUCGCUAGAGUUCCCGGCUUUACCCGCUGGCAACUAGCGAUAAGGGUUUCGCUCGUUAAGGGACUUAACCCGACACUUCACAGCACGAGCUGACGACAGCCAUGCAGCACCUGUGCACGUUUCACCCGAAGGCAGAUUACUCAGCUUUCACCGAGACCAUCCGUGCAUGUCAAACCCAGGUAAGGUUCUUCGCGUUGCUUCGAAUUGAUCCACAUGCUCCACCGCUUGUGUGAGCCCCCGUCAAUUCCUUUGAGUUUUAGCCUUGCGGCCGUACUCCCCAGGCGGCGCACUUAUCGCUUUUGUUUCGGCUCGAGUACCGUCAGUGGUCCUCGAACCUAGUGCGCAUCGUUUACGGCGUAGACUAC
rnacentral:misc_RNA from 1 species